CCUCGGCCCUCCCCGUCCCAGUCGGCGGCGUAAUGGCGGCUCCCAGGGCCCCGGGGGCUGUGCUCGGAGGCGGGGAAGACGGUGACGGCGGUCGCGGCGGAGCCGGGGCUGUCAGUAACGAGGCGCUGUUCACAGUAGCCAAGACGGGAAGUCUGUGCCCAUGACCAAUGAGCAGAGAAAGAGGAGGAGGCCUAGCUCCCCAACAACUGCCAGACAAGCCCCCAUCAUUUGCGGAGGAGUGACUAUGGUCGGGACUGCAUCCUGGAGCCGCUGUCCCUGCCCGAGGGCGCGGGGUGCAGCAGCACCCCCGAAGGCUCGCCCUCUGUGCCCUGUAUCUUCUGUGAAGAACACUUCCCCACAGCUCAGCAGGACCCCCUUCUGAAGCACAUGAUUAUCGAGCACAAGCUCGUCAUAGCCGAUGUCAGGCUGGUCGCUGACUUCCAAAGGUACAUCCUGUACUGGAGGAGGAGGUUCAGGGAGCAGCCCAUCACCGACUUCUGCAGCGUGAUCCGAAUCAACUCCACCGCUCCACUGGAAGAGCAGGACAGCUACUUCCUGCUGUGUGACGUGCUGCCGGAGGACCGGGUGCUGAGGGAGGAGCUGCAGGCGCAGAGACUGAAAGGAAUUCUGGAGCAGCAGCAGCGGGAGCGAAAUGACAACAACUUCCAUGGCAUCUGCAUGUUUUGCGAUGAGGAAUUCCUCGGAAACAGGUCUGUGCUAUUGAACCACAUGGCCAGAGAGCAUGCCUUCAACAUCGGGCUGCCGGACAACAUCGUGAACUGUGGUGAGUUCCUGUGCGCGCUGCAGAGAAAGCUGGACAACCUGCAGUGCCUGUACUGCGAGAGGACCUUCAGGGACAGGAACCUGCUCAAGGACCACAUGCGGAAGAAGCAGCACCGCAGGAUCAACCCCCGCAACCGGGAGUACGACCAGUUCUACGUCAUCAACUACUUGGAACUGGGAAAAUCCUGGGAAGAGGUUCAGUCGGAAGAUGACCGGGAGCUGCUGGAGCAGCAGGAAGAGGACUGGUCGGACUGGGAGGAGUGCCCCGUCUCCGCCGUGUGUCUGUUCUGUGAAAAGCAAGCGGAAACGACGGAGCAGCUGUGUGCCCACAUGGAGAAGCUCGAAGCGAGCGGUUCUGAGCCUGUUUCCACCCAGGACAUGUUGGGGAGGACCCUCCUGACACCCCCUGAGAGAGGGCAGCCGUGCCUCGGGACAGCACUGUGGCUGGACUCGGGGCUGAGGGCUGACUGCGCGGCCGUGCAAUUUCGGACAUGCCCCUGCCCACCUGUGCCCACCUGUGCCACGGGAAACUCCACUGCCUGUCCCCCCUCACUGCUCCCUGGUCAAAGACUACUCAGCACAGUGAGGACAGGGCGGGUCCAGGAAGGGCACGGGCGCACACAGAUGCAGCAGACGGCAGCUUCUCUGCACCAGCCGCCAGCAGUGUGUACACUCAUCCCUGUGUGCACAGGUCCCAUGAGCACAGGUCCUGUGUGCACUGGUCCCAUGUGCACAGGUUUUCUGUGUGCACUGUUCCCCAUGUGCACAAAUCCACAGAUCCCCGUGUACACAGGUCCCAUGUGCACAGGUUUUCUGUGUGCACUGGUCCCCGUGUGCUCAGAUCCCCAUGUGCACUAGUCCCGUGUGCACAGGUCCUGUGUGCACUGGUCCCGUGUGCACUGGUCCCCAUGUGCUCAGAUCCCCGUGUGCACUGGUCUCCGUGUGUACAGAUCCCCAUGUGCGCUGGUCCCCAUGUGUACAGAUCCUGUGUGUGCUGGUCCCCGUGUGCACAGAUCCCGUGUGUACAGAUCCCAUGUGUACAGGUCCCCUUGUGCGCUGGUCCCCAUGUGCACUGGUCCCUGUGUGCACUGGUGUCCGUGCACAUGUAAUUCACAAUGUCCGACAUGUUAGAACUGGAAGCAGCUGUGUCCCGCCCUGUGUGGGGGUCCUCCCUGCAGCCUCUUUGACCCGAGCCCCCACCCUCUGCUCAGUCCCUUCCGGUGACGACUGUCAGGGAGCCCCAUCGUCCUGCCUGUGGGCCCCUGGAUGAUCAGGGUGAGGUGGCCUUUACUCUGUGCGCUUGUAAGUUCAACCGUUUACCCCGAUGAACAUGACAGGGACGGAAUAGAAUAAAAUAAGCGUCUGCGCCGUGAAGCGUUUUAAGUGCUUUACGGGAAGAGUGUGUAAGGAGAAGCUGGCCGGCUUGUCAGGGACAGCAUGGAGGGAAGAGCAGAGCGUGUCACAGCACCUCUGCGUGGAGAAGAGCCCGUGUCCACAGCUCUAUCCCGACGUGGGACGCAAGGCCGCGUCUCCCUCGCACACUGCGUCCCACGUAGUGAACUGCGGAGACUGCAGGACGGGCGGGUGAGGGGUUCAUCUGAUUGGCGGGCUUGUGUGGAGUCGGGGAGUAGCCGGAUGUCAAGACGUCAGACGCCGAGGACAAUGCGCUGAGACAGGGCCUCGGUGUGAGGCUCCUGUGAACCGGCUGGAAGAUCGAGGACCUCCCUGCUCAGCUCUCCCCAUCCCUUCUUCCAGGAGGCGCACGGAUUUGACCUCCUCAGAACGAAGGCAGAGCUCGGACUGAAUUUCUAUGAGCAAGUGAAGCUGGUCAACUUCAUCCGACGGCAGGUUCACCAAGGCCGAUGCUAUGGCUGCUGCACCAGGUUUCCAUCCAGGGCCGACCUG